AAUGGAUGGCGGCAAACAUUGAUCCCCUCCGUAACGGCGAGUGAGUGGGAGUGUCAAUUAAAUCCUUUUCCCGGAGUCUAAUCAAAGAAAAACGGUUAGUAAGCGGAGACAAAGUCCGCCGGAAGCACGCGCUAGAAAGGGUGAUAGCCCCGUUCAAUCUCUUAACUUGCUUAUAUAUCAUUAUUUCAACGAGUCAGGUUGCUUGGGAAUGCAGCCUAAAUUUGGUGGUAAACUCCAUCUAAAGCUAAAUAUUGAUCAGUGACCGAUAGCAAACAAGUACCGUGAGGGAAAGAUGAAAAGAACCUUGAAAAGGGGGUUAAAAGUACGUGAAAUUGUUAUUAGGAAAGCACUUAGUCUCAUUGUGGAUUAAUUCAGUCUGUUUCGGCAGAUACUGGUUUAAUUAGUUAUGAUCAGUUAAUGGUUGAUAAAGAAAAUUUUUGAUAAGGUAUUAGUGUAAUGCUAAACUUAAAGAUCAAUUACUAUUUAUCGACUUUGACUGAGGAAUGCUUCUUAAAAUUUUCUGAUUAAUAGUUUAUGGAGUUAAGUUAAACAACAUGUUGAUUAAUUUAAUUAAAGUAUUCUAUUGAUYUUAAAACUUAAGAACAGGAUCAUAAUUAAAUGAUACUAAAUGACCCGUCUUGAAACACGGACCAAGGAGUCUAACAUGAUUGCGAGUUACAGGGUGACAAACCUUUGAGCGCAAUGAAAGUGAUAAAGAUAGGAGAGGUAACACUUGCACUAUCAACCUAACCUGAUGAUUUUUUUUGACGGUUUAGAGUUAGAGCAGUUAUGUUGGGACCCGAAAGAUGGUGAGCUAUGCUUGAAUAGGGCAAAGCCAGAGGAAACUCUGGUGGAGGCUCGUAGCGAUUCUGACGUGCAAAUCGAUCGUCAAAUUUGAGCAUAGGGGCGAAAGACUAAAUCGACCCUACUAAUACC
rnacentral:rRNA from 1 species